AGCAGCCGCGGUAAUUCCAGCUCCAAUAGCGUAUAUUAAAGUUGUUGCAGUUAAAAAGCUCGUAGUUGAAUUUCGGGAUCAGUACGCCGGUCGUGCCAUCGGUAUGUACUGGUGUCACUGAUUCCUCCCUUCUGAAGAACCGUUAUGCCAUUAAUUUGGUGUGUCGGGAAAUCAGGACUGUUACUUUGAAAAAAUUAGAGUGUUUAAAGCAGGCUCGCGCUUGAAUACAUUAGCAUGGAAUAAUGAAAUAGGACGUUUGAUCUUAUUUUGUUGGUUUCUAGGAUCGACGUAAUGAUUAAUAGGGAUAGUUGGGGGCAUUAGUAUUCAAUUGUCAGAGGCGAAAUUCUUGGAUUUAUUGAAGACUAACUACUGCGAAAGCAUUUGCCAAGGAUGUUUUCAUUAAUCAAGAACGAAAGUUAGGGGAUCGAAGACGAUCAGAUACCGUCGUAG
rnacentral:rRNA from 1 species